rnacentral:rRNA from 1 species
ACAUGCCUACAACAUAGCAUAAAUGCAUAAGAUCCCAUUAUAACUCCACAGCUAAGCAUGCUUGAUCUAUAGUAGUACUGGGAUGGGUGACUGCUCGGGAAGUACUAGUAUUUUACAUGCC